GACGAACGCUGGCGGCGUGCUUAACACAUGCAAGUCGAACGGUGAAGCGCCUUACUUUUUGGUGGGUGUGUAUGAGUUGCGAACGUGUGAGUAACACGUGAGUAACCUGCCCCCUUCUUCUGGAUAACCGCAUGAAAGUGUGGCUAAUACGGGAUAUUCUGGGUCUGUCGCAUGAUGGUUCUGGGAAAGAUAUUGUUUCGGUGGGGGAUGGGCUCGCGGCCUAUCAGCUUGUUGGUGGGGUGAUGGCCUACCAAGGCGGUGGCGGGUAGCCGGCCUGAGAGGGAGGAAGGGCAGGGCGGGGAGGAGGAACAGCCAAAACGGGUAUGAGAGGCAGCAGAGGGGAAUAUGGGAGGAAGGGGGGAGGACUAAUGGAGAGAGGGCGCGAGAGGGAUGGAGGCAUGCGGGUUGAGAGACGCUGGCGUUAGGGAAGUAGAGCUGCCUCGUUUGUGAGUGGGAUGACGGUAGCUGGAGAAGAAGCGCCGGCUAACUACGUG
rnacentral:rRNA from 1 species